UCAAUGCGUUUCUCUUCAGAUCGCAUAAAUCUUUCGCCUUUUACUAAAGAUUUCAGCGGGGAGGAACAACGGGGAUCAUUUCUAUAGUUCUUGACUUGAGAAAUGUGUUUUCAG